CCCUAUGGGGUGCAGCAGGCUUUGGCGGGGUGCGAUCUGAUUUUAAUGGAGUCGAAUUACGACCGCAAUAUGCUCAUGGCCGGGAAUUACCCUUAUGCCCUCAAACGCAGAAUCGACAGCGCGUCAGGGCAUCUUUCCAACGCCGACUGCGCCGAUUUUUUGCCGGAACUGAUUGCCGCGGGAACCACCCACAUCCAGCUUGGGCACUUAAGUCAAGAGAAUAAUAUGCCCCGAUUGGCCAAGGAAACGGCGUUAGCAGCCCUUAUCCAGGCCGGUAUGCAGCCGGAUCAGGAUUACCAGCUUGGCGUCGCGCCCCGAUUUGAACCGGGAAAUCUCAUACGAUUGUAGCUUUUGGAGUAAACAAAUGCAGACAGUAACCAUUUUGUGCGUUGGAAAACUCAAAGAAUCCUAUUGGCGGGAGGGC
rnacentral:rRNA from 1 species